GAUGAACGCUGGCGGCGUGCUUAACACAUGCAAGUCGAACGAAGCAUUUGCGACAGAUUUUUUCGGAAUGAAGUUGCUUAUGACUGAGUGGCGGACGGGUGAGUAACGCGUGGGUAACCUGCCUUGUACUGGGGGAUAGCAGCUGGAAACGGCUGGUAAUACCGCAUAAGCGCACAAUGUUGCAUGACAGGGUGUGAAAAACUCCGGUGGUAUAAGAUGGACCCGCGUCUGAUUAGCUAGUUGGUGAGAUAACAGCCCACCAAGGCGACGAUCAGUAGCCGACCUGAGAGGGUGACCGGCCACAUUGGGACUGAGACACGGCCCAGACUCCUACGGGAGGCAGCAGUGGGGAAUAUUGCACAAUGGAGGAAACUCUGAUGCAGCGACGCCGCGUGAGUGAAGAAGUAAUUCGUUAUGUAAAGCUCUAUCAGCAGGGAAGAUAGUGACGGUACCUGACUAAGAAGCUCCGGCUAAAUACGUA
rnacentral:rRNA from 1 species